AGGACAAGAAAAGGGCCAAUGAGAUCAAACAGAUUGACACAUGGCUGCACCCAGCGAACCAAGAACGGAUACUACCAGAGGACAAGCCUCGUGUUAGAAGGUACAAACCCCCUUCAGAGUAUAUGGAGAAAGAGACUGUGCUUUGACCUGCUCGACCAUGCAUCUUGCUUUUGUUUUUUAAUUUAUUAUUAACUCUGCUCGUAUUUAUUUUAAGGGAUGAGGCAAUGGCAAUUAUGGUUUGAAGUGCCAUUAUGGAGCUCUUAUUUUAUAUUUAUGGCCAAAUUGUAGAAUAUAUUCAUUUGGUUGUGUUUCGGGAUGACAGUAUUAACCCAAUGAAGCACUCUCAUUUGUUGUUGAAAUUAUUUUGCCCAUGUGUUUUUAAUAAGUGUACCUACAUACUAAUUCAUGAAAAUAAAAAAAUCAUCAACAUUAUUUCACUGCUGUAAUCAAUUUGGUUUUAUGUUCUCAAUUCUAAUUUAAUCACAGUAAUAAGGUAAAUGUUUGGUAAUCGGCAAGCUGUCUAUUCCCCUUGACUACAUCAUUUGUGAAUUGAUGCCAAGAAAAUUAUCCAUUCCCUCUCCCCCUCCUUUCUUUGGCAUAAUAAAGGCGAAUCAAUUGGACAAACAUUGAAAGAGAAAAAAGGUCUUCUGUCAAGCCAAAAUUAUUUGUCCACUCUGCAAUGCAAGAUUACUUGACAAUUUUUCAAAACUUACCUUCAGAUACAAAAUGAUCCAUUUCAUUAUAAAUUCUUUUGAGUAAUUACUUCAUAUCUAGGGAAGAUUUAUUGACACUUGUUUUUGUGUUUUGUAAAAUGCCUUUUAUACACAGGCACAGAUCGGGGGAAGGGGGGGUGUUAUAUUAUUCCUUAAUAAUGAGGCAGUUGCAUGGCUGUAUUGCAAUGAAAAUAAUAGAAUCCUCGACUGGAAUUUUUUGUAAAAAGAGGGAGUUUGAGGCCCUGUAUCACAUAAAUUUGUGGUCAGUUGUAAAUUUCAAACAUCAAUUAUGAUUGGUUGACACUGGGAUGUUGAACAAACUGUAUAUAUGCAAUCCUGAAUUUUAUUGGCCAUUCUGUAGAGGUGUCGUGGCUCAGUGGAUAGUCUCUGGACUUUGAACUGCAAGGUCCUGGGUUCGAAUCCCACCAUGGCAAUCGUGUCCUUUGGCAAUGCAUUUAUAUUCAUUUAUUUGUCACUCUCCACACAGGUGAAUUAUUGUUUUUGUAAGAUUGUGAUUACUGUCUUCUUUCUUGUGACAGAGCCUAGGCCAUUCAAGAAUAUCUUGACAACUUUGAUCGCUUGUUAAAACCAUGCAUGUUUGUUAUGUUUGCAUUUUACUCUUGCACGUUGAAGGACUACUACCUAGAUUGUUUUAUUGUCAACAUUUUAUCAUUUACAAAAUGCAAAAGAAUGUGAACUUUUUUUUUGAGUGGUAUACGAGCUUAAGAUGUUUGUUCGAGUAGAAACCUAUCGUUACAAUAGACUAAAUACCACCAAAAUUACAGCAGGAAUAUCAAAGCAGAACAUAAUAGAACAGCAUAGAUUUGCUUUGUGCUCUAUCGUGUUACCUCCAUUUACAAAAUUUGCUUCCAGGUCUCGCAACAAAUUAUUCGAGAUUUUUGUUUCAUCUGUUGCUUUCAUCGCUAGCUUGACAAGGAUGUUUUCAAAAGGAUCAGCAUGAUUUUGAUAGUUUGCAUUUGGAGGUACAAGAAAACUUGUAAUGUAUAUCUUGCAGUUUAUACUGUGUGUCCCAGUAACACACAACCAAAUAUCAUUACAUUUUUUUUUGUACAUUCAUAAAAUUUGAUAAGUGUUGCAUAUUUCUAAGGCUUUGGCCCUCUCUUUAAUACUGGUUAAACCAUAAUCAUGCGAUGAAUGAGAAUAUUCCGAAGAUAGGGUACCAAGAGGUCAUUUGAUUGGUGAUAUUUAAAUUUUAGAAAUCAAAUAACAUUAUACUGUAUAGAAUUUCCUUUCUUACCCUUCAUUAUGAAUACGUCCAUCAGGAGAAAUUAGCAAGGAUUAGCAAAGGUCUAAUUGUAAUAUCCACCUACUUGUAUAUGUCCAUGAUUUCAUUUAACAACUUUGUUUUCACUGUCUGCAUGCUGUAACAUCAAAUGCAGUUCAUAAAGACUCUAUGCCUUCCUGAUUGUCAACAGAGUGGUGUGGUGACUGAAAAUGAAAAUCCAAACUUUGUUUGCAUACAUGAUAUAACAGGCAGUUAUUUGUUUUAGUUUUUUUGUAAUUAUAGAAAUGCAUGAACCAAUCUAACAAAUAUGCUUUGUUAUUCCUACAUCAUUUACUCCUCUACUUAGAUUUAGAUUUGUAGUAAAGGGUAGAUGAUUAACUUUAUGAAAUUGUUAUUUAACGCCAAGUUGAUUUUGGCUACAUGUACCUACUUUUCAAAUGUUCACACUCAUUCGUGAAUUCAAUUGCAUCGAUUAAAAGAAAAGAAGAGGACCUAUGUGUUUACUUUAUGAACAUGCAACAAUUAAUGAUUACAAUUCAGGGGCCGGGGAACCCCCACUUUUUCCAAAGGUUAGCUAUUAAUCGUACGCCUGAUUUUCACGAUUUAUUGCACAUUGUAGUUAAUGCAAUUAAUCGUUUUAAAAAGUUUUACGAUGAUAGCUAAGCUUAUUAUGGGCCACUGAUUGUGAUCUAUGCAUGAUUAGCACCCCCCCCCCCUUCAAAAUUGUCCCACGGCCCCUGAAAUUAUGAUAAAGUUACAUGCAUGAUGAAACUCAGUAAUGCUUUGCUUGGAUCUGGGACACUCCAUAGAUACAUGAAACAUGACAACAAAUAUAAGGAGUAACAAAUCUUUAACGACAUCUACCAGACAAUACCUAAACUUAAUUCUGUAAAUUUUAGUAUCAAAUGGAGCCAUUUUGUUUUAAUUGUUUAAUUAAAAACAAAACUGCUGCAUGUAAUUUAAUAUUUUCAUUUGACAUUGGUACUACCUGAUAUUAUUGUUUUAAAAAUUCAUACAAAUCUUACAAUGGAUAUAAUACAUAAAAACGGAGGUAAUGCAUAUAUACCUCUUUUGUUAAUGGCGUGUGAGAUUUGAUCAUUGAAUCAAUCAAGUGCUAAAGGAGGUUAUAACUAAAUAAUAAUUUAUCUCUUCAUAAGUCAUUCCUUGCCAUGUAUAAACAUUUAUAAAGUGUUUUGCAGUGAUCAUGAUUUUGCAAGAUUAAUCCAUUUAUUGCAAAAGUGUUAGUUUUGUACUUUUGAUAGCUCUAAAAGUAUUAACAGGGCAUUCAACCUGGUAUUUAUACUAUUUUGUGUGAAGGAGAAACAUAGGAAUAACAGAAUGGUGAACGUUUGAAAGAAAUCAUACCAAGAAAGAGAAGAGUAUGGCUGUGUCAAACAUGAGAUCACUUAAUCUCAAGAGAGCAUAUUUUUAAAUCUUUCAUAGAAGAAAGACAUCAUUUGGAGGGAACUUAUGACACUUCAGCUAUUCUGUGUCUUGGAGCAAACGGAGGGAUUUUCCUUGGCUAACAAUGAAAGUCACAAUUACAUCACAUACAUGACGAAGCCAAUAUGAAAUCCCAAUUAAAAAAAAAUAUUUUUAAAGAGUCAUAUUUCUUAAUGUUUUUCCGAUUUUGUUCAAACUUUUGCCUUUCUACUUCUCUAUUUUUCCUUUUUACAUUGAAUUCCUCUUAAACCAUUUUCUGACUUUGUAAUGUUUUUCAUUGCUUUAUUUUGCUUGAGAUCCAAGUAUUUAUUCAUAGCAUGUAUUCAUGUUAUUUUAGCAUACAUAAAUAUUUUGCAGUACCACACUGUUAAAAUAAUUUAAACAACGCUGUUUAUAUGUGAAUUACAUAGUAGUUGUUCAAACAGUUUAGACAAGUGUUUAAAAUCUUAAACAACCAUGCUUAAAUUAUUGAUGAUUAAAUAUUUGAAUUUAAACUUUGUCGUUUAAGAUUUUAAACACUUGUUUAAAAUUUUUUAAUGACUACUCUUCAAUUCACAUAGUAAAUAGUUGUUUAAAUUAUUUUAAUAGUGCAGAUUGAGAAAAAAAAAGUUAUCAUUGAAAUACAAUUCCCCCUAAUAAACAUGCUUCAUUAUUAUUUUAUAUAUAAGAACAUUCCAAUUUGCAAGAGAUAAAAUGUAAGCAAUGUGAACUUGUAAUAGCAUAACGUUUGAUACGAAUGAAAACUAACAAAUUUAGAUUUUUUUUCUUAAAUUGUAAUAUGAAUUAACAAAAAAAAAUAAUGAUAAUACAUGUAAACCAACAGGAUAGCGAUGAUGAAACAUAGGUACUUGUUCUUUCUACUAAUAUUGAAAGGAAACUAAAUAAGGCUUCAAUUAAAUUAUUUUUAAAAUAAUACAUUUUUUAUCAAUUGUGAAUUAUGUACAGAAAUACUACCACCCAGCUUCCAUAUUCCUGUUAUUUACAAGAUAAUCAUAAUUUUGAUUUGAUCCAUUUUGAGAUAUGAAUUUUUUAAUUAGAUUGUGUAUAUUCACCAUGUUUCCUCUCACAGUUUUAGCAACAGUAAAUUAUUGUGUAAAUGAUAGAUGUUGUACAUGUAUUUAUUAUGAUGUAUAAAUGAACUUGUGUUUAGUUUAGAAGUUUUUUAUGCAAAUCCAGGGACCAAUUACAGCAUUGAUUUAGGAUCAUGCUAAUUGAGCUAUGCUGGAUGAAUUAAAUAUUCAGUAUCCCAUGUAAAAGAUUCUGAAAAGAAUUAUUUAUUGUAUUUUGCAAGUUUUCUACAGAUAAUCAUGUGAUUAUGGUGCAAAACAAAGAAAUUAUACUAAAACUAAAAAUGAGAACAAA